ensembl:lncRNA
CAGGGUCAGGUGCACCACGCGGGCGGGGCGCAGCGAGGCCGGUGCUGGAGGCAGCUGAUUGGCCUGCUUGACGCUCGGAUGCCUUGAUCUGGUCUGACAAGUGGAGGCUGCUUUGAGAAGCGGCCUGGAUUUUUGGCAUUCAGCGAGCUAGAAAUAACUGGCUGGGCCCUUGGCGCUGCGGUCACAAAUACCUUGCCCUUCGGAGAUGGCAGCCCAAUUGUAGGGGCUUUUCUGCAAUGCAGAUCUGUUCUCUGAAGGUUGAAGGCCAGACAUGGCCUGGUCUUCAGUGUGUCUUAAAGGACCAAAGGACCACAGCCCCCAAGGCAGCCAUGUCUAUCCAAGCAGUUAUGCUUCAUCACGUUUUUGUUCUCCUUGGAAACCACCAGAACUCUACCCACUAGAGCAAAAUGAAUCUGGUACAGGAUCCUGAGGAAUAUGCUUCGGAGUCGUGAACAUGGGAAGCUGAGCCAGACUGCAGUUCUCAACCUGAUCCCGUGGUCAUACAGGUCUGCUGGCUCACGGGAUCUGUCUGCUUGUCCACUGGAAGGCUCCAGAGCUGGUUCUUCU